rnacentral:rRNA from 1 species
GUGUGGAGUACGGCCACCANGCGACGACGGGUAGCUGGUCUGAGAGGACUACCAGCCACACUGGAACUGAGAUACGGUCCAGACUCCUACGGGAGGCAGCAGUGGGGAAUAUUGCACAAUGGGCGAAAGCCUGAUGCAGCGACGCCGCGUGAGGGAUGAAGGCCUUCGGGUCGUAAACCUCUUUCGGCAGGGACGAAGCGAUCAGUGACGGUACCUGCAGAAGAAGCCCCGGCUAACUACGUGCCAGCAGCCGCGGUAAGACGUAGGGGGCGAGCGUUGUCCGGAUUCAUUGGACGUAAAGCGCGCGUAGGCGGCUGCGCAAGUCGGUUGUGAAAUUCCGGGGCUCAACCCCGGAACUGCGUCCGAUACUGCGUGGCUAGAGGUAGGUAGGGGAGAUCGGAAUUCCUGGUGUAGCGGUGAAAUGCGCAGAUAUCAGGAGGAACACCGGUGGCGAAGGCGGAUCUCUGGGCCUUACCUGACGCUCAGGCGCGAAAGCUAGGGGAGCGAACAGGAUUAGAUACCCUGGUAGUCCUAGCCGUAAACGUUGGGUGCUAGGUGUGGGCGGAUAU